GUUCAAUGGCACAAGUGGUUAAAUGGCACAAGUGGUGUUGUGACCUGCUUAAUUUUGGGCAUGUCACUGAGCAUCUCACUGCCAGCGCAGUUUUCCUGUCACAACUCGGCAGCGCGCACGUACAGAGCUGCUGCCGUUUGCCACGGAGCAAUACCCGCUCCAACUGAACCUAAACCAAACGUGAAGCCCCUCUGUGAGACAGGAGGGAGCCCGUUCGUGCUACCGGCCGGAGGGCAACGGAGCCGGGGCGGGGGGCGAGGGCUGUGGCUGUGGCCGUGGCCGUGCCUGUGGCCCCAGCAGGUGGCAGCAGGGAGCGGGCGCCUCCCGCCCCAUCCCGACCGGAAGUCGCCGGGUGCGGGCAGUGCACGCAGCGCAAGCAGCGGCGGGGUGCCGGAAGUCGCCCCCUGAGGCGGUGCCAUACCCCGGUGCGCCGUGCGACAGCGUGGGGAUAUUGGGCGGCGCGGGCGCCAUCUUAGCUGCGCCCUGUGCGCUGCAGGUCGGGGCAGAUAGCGCGGGUCCCGCAGCACUGCGCUCUUCGGAAGCUUCAGCUGCAAACGUUUUCUGGUCCUGUAAACCUUUUCUGGUCACAGAUGAGAGGGACAAAAGUCUCCAUUAAAAAAUAUAGAGCAUCUGAAGUCACCAAAAGACAGAGAGCAGUAAACGAGCCAGAAGUUUUACGGUUUUGAAGCUUUCAGACCAUCCUGUAGUAUAAACAUAUUUUCGUUUUUUUUCGUCAGCAUCAAGAGUAUCCUUCAUUGCUUGGAAGCAGAGGAUUUUAGUUCUUCAAAGAUCCAUAAAUACAGGAAAACAAACUUCAGUAUUCUUUACAAAAAUAGUGAAAACCAAUUAACAUUGAAUUACAAUGAAGAAAUGAGAACAAACAUAAAUGAGUUAACCCUGGGCCUCAGAAGAAAUCGUUGGACAAUGUUUCGGCCAUGAGACUGACCUCAGUGUUCCAGCUCCCAGCAGAGACCUGCAGCACCUUCUUAUGCCAGAGGAAGACAUGGUUGGAGCCAGAGGCAACAGCGUCUCAUGGGUCUUGGGUGGACAAGACCAAGGCUGAAACUUUCUUAGCAGCCUAUUGUAUAUGCUUUUUCUAGAAGUGCUCACAGGAUGAUGAGGAAAAUAGCUGUCAGGAAGUCAGAGAAAAUUCUCAUUAACUUGUCCCGGUACACAUUUUAUCACCAAAGAUAAAAAAAAGAAAAAAAAGAAAAAAUGAGCAGGCAAUAUAUUGGACAUCUCUGAAAAAUGACGAUGAGAUGGUACACCUGUGUACUUGUGUACUUGGGCUAUGCUGAAGUAAGCUAUACCUGUUGAGCAUUAUUGAUAUAACAACUGAGUAAACUGCAGAAGUUCCCCGUUUAUCAUCCUAAUCUGAGCUAUAAAUGAACAAAAAACAGUUUAUUUUUAUGAUCCAGGGCUGAUUUUCUAGAGAGGCAGAUACAUUUUUGAUGAGUAGCACUGAACAACAAAUAGUAAAAAACCAUGAAAAUAUCAUUGUGAAACUACUCCCCAAAGGAAAAGACUGUUCGCAGUCCCAGUCUGCAUCUGUAGCUGUCUUAUAAUUUACAUGGCUUAACUAGAAUUCCUCCAGGAAAUACCAUUUGUUCCAAAUUAAAGGUCUGAAUGCUAAGAGGCACUAAAGGUAGCGAAGCUAAGGAAGCAGAAAUGAAGGACCACUUGUAUAUCUCUUCCCUGUUUAGAUUACCUUGCAGAUUUGGAUGCAAAGGUCCGUGAAGGAAAGGUUAGCAGCUAAAGAGAUGUUUCAACUCCAAUAUACAGAUUUUAGUGUAAACUGAAAACAAAAAGGCAGCCAGCAAGAGGCAGAAGAGGUUCCCCAAAAAAGCACUGGGGACAGCAUGGGAACAACAAAAAAUGACAAUGGAAAUACUUUAGGUGGAGAACAAUGAGACUAGCAAGUACCAGUGUGCAGGUGGGGCACAAUAAAACCCGUCUGCAAGCUAAGCCAAGAAUAAUCUACUUUAAAAGUGCUAUGCUUUGCUACUUAUAAAUGUUGCUCUUGUCCAAGUGUUUUGUAUUUGCCUCAGUGCAGU